AUGAGGACAUCGAGCUUCCUUCUCAUCGUUGCUGCCGCAUUCCUCUACGCCAUCGCCUCACCCACCACGGGCUGUGGGGAAUGGAUGGGCAACCAAUUGCGGAACACAACAAUAGAGAAUGGAUUGGAACCAAUCAGAAAUAUCAACGACCAACGCAUCCAGGUGCUCGGCAAUUGGGCGGUGUUGGAGUUCGGAAAGUACACAAAUUGUGUGCUCAAGUUCAACAAGGUGGUGAGUGGCAGACAACAACAUGCAUUUUUAUUGUACUACGAACUCAUCAUCGAUGCAUCGGACGUCCGCGGGGUAGACGGCAAGUACAAGGCAAGGGUGCUCGUGCAAGAGGGGGUUCACAGACCCCAUCUCCUCUCCUUUGCCAAGGUGAACUAG
rnacentral:rRNA from 1 species